GACGAACGCUGGCGGCGUGCUUAACACAUGCAAGUCGAACGAUGAACCCGGAGCUUGCUCCGGUGGAUUAGUGGCGAACGGGUGAGUAACACGUGAGUAACCUGCCCUUGACUCUGGGAUAACUGCGGGAAACUGUAGCUAAUACCGGAUACGACCCUCGGCGGCAUCGCCAGGGGGUGGAAAGAAUUUCGGUCAAGGAUGGACUCGCGGCCUAUCAGCCAGUUGGUGGGGUAACGGCUCACCAAGGCGACGACGGGUAGCCGGCCUGAGAGGGUGACCGGCCACACUGGGACUGAGACACGGCCCAGACUCCUACGGGAGGCAGCAGUGGGGAAUAUUGCACAAUGGGCGCAAGCCUGAUGCAGCAACGCCGCGUGAGGGAUGACGGCCUCGGGUUGUAAACCUCUUUUAGUAGGGAAGAAGCGAAAGUGACGGUACCUGCAGAAAAAGCACCGGCUAACUACGUGCCAGCCGCCGCCGUAA
rnacentral:rRNA from 1 species